UUAAAUUGAAGAGUUUGAUCAUGGCUCAGAUUGAACGCUGGCGGCAGGCCUAACACAUGCAAGUCGAACGGUAACAGGAAGAAGCUUGCUUCUUUGCUGACGAGUGGCGGACGGGUGAGUAAUGUCUGGGAAACUGCCUGAUG
rnacentral:rRNA from 1 species